UGGAAGUCCCCAAGCCAGGAGGCAGGGGGCUUGCACUGCUUCUGCAGUAGGUUCUGGCUGAGGGCCUUCCUCCCAUUCACUCUCCUCAGGUCCUGUCAUUUCCUCUCUCCUCUUCUUCCCCCUCCUCCCACUCCCAAGUCCCUGGAAGAAGGAGGAGGGGCAUCGGCUGUCUGGAAGGUGGGGAGAAGUCACUUAUUUUACUGAGCACCUACUAUUUGCGGGGCACUUGCGGGGCCUCCCCCUCCUCUAAGACAGCUCAGACAGCAUGACAGUUCAGUGGGGUGGAGAAAGAAAGGAGGUGGGUGCCCGGGGUCAGAAGUCGGGUGGAGAGGCUGGCCCAUCCAUCUGUCCCCUUCUCCUAAAGAACUGCGGCUGAACCAGCGAGCGGUACCCGGACGACAUGUGGGGGAGGGAGGAAACCCGGCCUGGAAGUGGCGGUGGCGGGUCCCCGGGCAAAGGAAAGGCUCAAUUGUG
rnacentral:lncRNA from 1 species